rnacentral:pre_miRNA from 1 species
AAUAAGUGCAGUCGUGGAUAUCUGUGUCCAAUGUUUGACCGUCCGUCUUAUUUAAAAAAUAUAAAAAAGUUAGUCACACAUAAAGUAUUAUUCAUGUUUUAUCAUCUAAUAACCAUAAAAAUACUAAUAAAAAAAAAUUUAAAUAAGAUGAACGGUCAAACGUUGGAUAUAAAUAGUGCAAAACUUACA